GAGAAUUUUAUUUCGGUAGAAUUCUUAGUGGCGAACGGGUGAGUAACGCGUAGGCACCUGCCCUUUAGACGGGGACAACAUUCCGAAAGGAGUGCUAAUACCGGAUGUGGCCGCAUGGCGAAAGAUGGCCUUCAAGAAGCUAUCGCUAAAGGAUGGGCCUGCGUCUGAUUAGCUAGUUGGUAGUGUAACGGACUACCAAGGCGAUGAUCAGUAGCCGGUCUGAGAGGAUGAACGGCCACAUUGGGACUGAGACACGGCCCAAACUCCUACGGGAGGCAGCAGUGGGGAAUCUUCCGCAAUGGACGAAAGUCUGACGGAGCAACGCCGCGUGAGUGAUGAAGGAUUUCGGUCUGUAAAGCUCUGUUGUUUAUGACGAAGCGCAGUGUGUGAACAAUGCAUUGCAAUGACGGUAGUAAACGAGGAAGCCACGGCUAACUACGUGCCAGCAGCCGCGGUAAUACGUAGGUGGCGAGCGUUGUCCGGAAUUAUUGGGCGUAAAGAGCAUGUAGGCGGCUUAAUAAGUCGAGCGUGAAAAUGCGGGGCUCAACCCCGUAUGGCGCUGGAAACUGUUAGGCUUGAGUGCAGGAGAGGAAAGGGGAAUUCCCAGUGUAGCGGUGAAAUGCGUAGAUAUUGGGAGGAACACCAGUGGCGAAGGCGCCUUUCUGGACUGUGU
rnacentral:rRNA from 1 species